rnacentral:rRNA from 1 species
AACGCUGGCGGCUUGCCUAAUACAUGCAAGUAGAACGCUGAAGGAGGAGCUUGCUUCUCCGGAUGAGUUGCGAACGGGUGAGUAACCCGUAGGUAACCUGCCUGGUAGCGGGGGAUAACUAUUGGAAACGAUAGCUAAUACCGCAUAAUAGUAGACGUUGCAUGACAUUUGCUUAAAAGGUGCAAUUGCAUCACUACCAGAUGGACCUGCGUUGUAUUAGCUAGUUGGUGGGGUAACGGCUCACCAAGGCGACGAUACAUAGCCGACCUGAGAGGGUGAUCGGCCACACUGGGACUGAGACACGGCCCAGACCUCUACGGGAGGCAGCAGUAGGGAAUCCUUCGGCAAUGGACGGAAGUCUGACCGAGCAACGCCGCGUGAGUGAAGAAGGUUUUCGGAUCGUAAAGCUCUGUUGUAAGAGAAGAACGAGUGUGAGAGUGGA